rnacentral:lncRNA from 1 species
AUGCUGAAUCAGAGGGCUCUGCAAGCGAGAGGCGGGCUGGGGACCAGAUGUCCAACAUCAUUGCCAGCUGAUCAACUAGUCAUUAGGGCAAAAAUUCCCUUUCCUCGGUUCUUAGUGACUUUUUAUUCAGACAAAAAUCAAGUCAAGGCCAGUUGCAAGAAUAUCUAUGACCCUGGAGCAGGCAAGUCCCUAAGGAACUGACUUGGACAGUGCUCACUUGGCCCGCAUUCCCAACACUUUGUUGGUAAAGGCAGAUGGACCAAGCCACACGGAGGUGAUGCCGACCCCAAAAUACUCAUGUCUCUUCUGAAGAAUCUUUUUUGUUUUACUCUUUUAUUAGAUAUAGGCUACAGAUAAUAAAGUGCGCAAAUCUUAAGAGUCUUACGUAUCCAGCUUGAUGAAUUUUUAUGUAGGUGUAUAACCACGUAACCAUCGCCCACGCCAAGAGCUCCAACAUUUUCAGAAGGCUCCCUCCUGCCACUUUCCAGUCAAUACUCACACCCUGAAGUUUACCAAUUAGUUUUGCCUCUUCUUAAAUCCCAUAGAAAUGGAAUCAUACUGUGUUUGCUUGACAUCUCAUUUCAUUCACUCAACGUAACAUCUAUGACAUGUGCUCAUAUGAUCACCUAUUUAUUAGUUUCCUAGGGCAGCUGUAAUGAAGUACCAAGGACCGGGGGCCUUAAACAACAGAAAUGUAUUUUCUCACAGUUCUGAAGGCUGGAAGUCCAAGAGUAAGGGUGUUCGCAGGAUCAGUUUCAUCUGAGGCUUCUCUUCUCAGCUAGUAAACUCCGACUUCUCCCCGUGUCUUCACAUGACCUUCCCCCUGUGCAUGUCUGUGUCCUAAUUUCAUCUUCUUAUAAGGACCCCAGUCAUAUUGGAUGAAGG